ensembl:lncRNA
GGGUAACCAUGGUGAAUAAGGUGCUAGUUGCUAUGGAAACACUAUUCUGAAGGACCCGACUGGUACAGUUGUUUUUAAGUUCACAGAGAUGAGAUUGGUGGAGUGCAAUGCUACGCUAACACUGAUCAGUGGAGAGCUUCCUAUUGUCCGGGACUGGACCCGUCAGAGGACGCGCGGGUGACUGUUCUUCCUCCCUCCUCCCCCGCUCCUCUCGCUCUCCUCCAAGCAGCCGGCGGGGUGAAUGUUGGGCAGUAUUGCUGAGCGCCUCCGCGGUGUGAUUCUUUUACCCCCCGGAGACGACGGUGGACCAACCGAGUACCUCCAAGGCGGGACGGAGGAGUGACGCAGCAGACUUACAGCAGCAACAAACCCCUUGCAGUGUUCUGUGUCAACAGUACAUCGUCGCUUUAAACGCUCUGACCCCCGUCCGGUCCUGCUGCCUUCAUUAGAGUGCUGGAGGCCGAUGGUGAGCGCAGGAUACAGACGGGAGAGAGUAGACAACUCAAACACUGGAGGCGUCUGGAUUCCCGGGAUUGGCUCUGGAACUAUCGGCUACUUUGACUAGUUUCCUACACAGGACCUGCACAGGUCAUCAGCUGCUUCUCCCCCCAAGUUCCCAACAUCAAGAUCAACAACAACAACAACAACGACGACAAAAAAAAAGGCAAUCACUGUUCACUUGUGAUGAAAUCUAUCUGAUUCAGUUCAUUUGAGCCUCGCCUCUCCUGGUGUAUAAAUGCUUUGCGUGGUGUGCACGAUUCAACAAGCUCAAACUAUGGCC